GGAGGCGUGCGUGAGUGGUUGAAACGAACUGUCUUGAAAACAGUUAUACCCGAAAGGGUAUCGAAGGUUCGAAUCCUUCCGCCUCCG
rnacentral:tRNA from 1 species